rnacentral:rRNA from 1 species
UACGUAGGGUGCGAGCGUUAAUCGGAAUUACUGGGCGUAAAGCGUGCGCAGGCGGUUCGUUGUGUCGGCGGUGAAAGUUCGGGGCUCAACCCUGAAUCGGCCGUCGAUACUCCCGGGCUUGAGCACUGUAGAGGCAGAUGGAAUUCCGGGUGUAGCGGUGGAAUGCGUAGAGAUCCGGAAGAACACCGGUGGCGAAGGCGGUCUGCUGGGCAGUAGCUGACACUGAGGCGCGACAGCGUGGGGAGCAAACAGG